rnacentral:rRNA from 1 species
CCCAGCUCGUCAUGCUAGAGCACUUUUUCAAUGUGCUCCCCAACGAGAAAGCGACAACGGAUUCGUAUGUCAAUCCAUAUAAAGUUUAGAUGCCAUUGACUGCGCCUACCAUGGUGACCACAAGAAACAGGGAAUCAGGGUUCGAUUCCAUACAGGGACCCUGACAAACGGCUACCACAUGCAAGGAAGGCAGCAGACGCGCAAAUGACCCACUCCUGCGCGGGAAGGUAGUGACG